rnacentral:lncRNA from 1 species
AACAGUGUUAUCGGUAACAAUUACGCCGUUAUUUAUAAAAACUCAUACUUUGUCGUUUUCUUCAUCCGACAGUUAUUCUGUUAUGAGCCCCACGAAUGGCUGCGCCGUUGUACGAAUAUUCCUCGACAAAAAGAAUAUUCCACGACCAAAAGAAUAUUCCUCGACGAAAAUGAAUAUUUUAUAAUCACUUGCUUAUCUUGUAAAAUUUUCACAUUUCACCCAUAACCAAAG